rnacentral:rRNA from 1 species
AAACUCCUUUUCUGGGAGACGAAUAAGGUGGGCAGGCAAUGGUCCACCGAUGACGGUACCCCAGGAACAAGCGCCGGCUAACUUCGUGCCAGCAGCCGCGGUAAGACGAAGGGCGCAAGCGUUAUCCGGAAUUACUGGGCGUAAAGGGCGUCUAGGCGGCCAAUCAAGUCAACGUUGAAAGCCCUUGGCUAAACUGAGGGAUGUACGUCGAAACUGAUUGGCUCGAGGAACGUAGAGGAAGGCGGAACUCUCGGAGUAGCGGUGAAAUGCGUAGAGACCGAGAGGUACCCCGAUGGUGAAGACAGCCUUCUGGGCGUUUCCUGACGCUGAAGCGCUAAGGCCAGGGGAGCGAAGGGGAUUAGAUACCCCCGUAGUCCUGGCUUCAAACGAUGUGGGCUUGGUGUCGGCUCCCGACAGAGAGUCGUUGCCGGAGUUAACGCGUUAAGCCCACCGCCUGGGGACUACAUCCGCAAGGAUGAAACUCAAAGGAAUUGACGGAA